GUGAGGAAUAUUGGUCAAUGGGCGCAAGCCUGAACCAGCCAUCCCGCGUGAAGGAAGAAGGCGCUAUGCGUUGUAAACUUCUUUUCCAGAGGAAGAAAAACUCCGACGUGUCGGGGCUUGACAGUACCCUGGGAAUAAGCAUCGGCUAACUCCGUGCCAGCAGCCGCGGUAAUACGGAGGAUGCGAGCGUUAUCCGGAUUUAUUGGGUUUAAAGGGUGCGCAGGCGGGAUAAUAAGUCAGUGGUGAAAACCUGCAGCUUAACUGUAGAAUUGCCAUUGAUACUGUUGUUCUUGAGUAUGGUCAAGGUAGGCGGAAUGUGUAAUGUAGCGGUGAAAUGCUUAGAUAUUACACAGAACACCGAUUGCGAAGGCAGCUUGCUGGGCCAUUACUGACGCUCAUGCACGAAAGCGUGGGGAUCGAACAGGAUUAGAAACCCCAGUAGUCC
rnacentral:rRNA from 1 species